CCAUUAUUUAUUAAUUUCAGUGACAAACAUACCAGGCACUAUUUUUUCACAAAGCAAGAUGCUUAGUAGUACUGGAGAUACCAAGUUAUGACAGAGAUCCUGCUCUUAAGGACUUUAUCAAAAUAAAUAAAAUAUUUUAUACCAAGGUGAAAUGCCAACAGAACAACACAUUAGGGGGUUCAAACUAAUCUCAAAAGAAGCAAGCACUCAGAGAUUCAAAUAAAUUUGAAAAAAAAUCUCCACAAAAUUAAAUGAGGUAAUACAUGCAAAGCACUUAGAGCAGUGCUUGGUAUGUGACAGGGGCUGAAAUAUGUUCAUCAUGACCCCAACCCCCAGUCAGAAACCCUAGGCCUCAGACUUCUUCACUGCAGUCCCUAUGCCCCCAAAUUUUAAUUUUCCAUCCUGAAUGUAUCUGAAACCUUGUGCACUUAAAGAGGUGGAGCCAGGACAUUCACCUUAUUGAGCUUUAAAUACAUAAAGCCUGAAUCAUUCUAUUUAAUAAGAGCAUAGUCCAAGUUCUACAAUAUAUUUUGAGUGACUGGACACAGGUUAUCUAUUCUGCUUUCUUUAAUCACUGCUGUUAGGUGGGAUACUCCAAGCCGUUGGGCCCUUGUUUUAUUUCCCAAUGGUUCAAUAGUUAAAAUGUUGUAGGUAGUCCAGAGGUUAAAAGCUGCAAAAUGCAGGGUAUAGUUCAGAGAUUGUACAUGAUAGGCUGAGUGGGAAAAAGAUNAUAGGUAUCAAAGAAAAUUGAAAGGAGCCUCCCACAGCACACAUCUUCCUCUUCCUGGAGUUGGGGAGUUACAUGUGUCUCUAGAAAGAAAAUUAUACUAUAGUGUAACAAAAAAACAGACCAAGGAUUCUGGAAUCAAAAGCGCUAGCUUCCGUUCUAGCUCAGCCAGCUGUAAAUCCUACAAAUAACAUCUCUGAACCUCAUUUCUCUCCUAAUACCAGAACGUAUAUCUCAGAAAACUGUUUUGAUGAUUCCAUGAUACGACAAAUGAAAGCACUUUGUACGCUGUAAAAGCAUCAUAUAACAUUGAUUUCUUGGGAGGUGGGGAGUAAUUUAAGUAUAUGCCCUCCACGUGCUCAAGCCAACAUUGCCCCCCCACCCCAAGGCAAAUGUGAAAAGAAAAUUCUUCCUUCAUAUAUUUGAAUCUGUCUCGAGGCUUUACUGGCUUUGACAAGGACAAGGUGUCCUCUUCUGACAGCCUUUUUGGAGGCACUGUCUGGAAGGUCUUUCUAAUUCCAGUCACCCCACUGUAUUAGGUAGUUUUAAAAGAAUCUUUCAUUUAUCUGCUCAUUUAUCUAUUAA
rnacentral:lncRNA from 1 species